GCUCCGAGGAAGCUCGAGCGAGAGAUCCACGCAAGGAGCUGGGGCAGGAAGUGAUUAACAGCGGGGAGAAAGGAGAAGUUUAAAUAGCAACAUAAAAACCUGAAGAUUUUAUUGCUUUAUAUAAAUUGCCCAGCAGGGACUCAUUUUGAGAAAGAAGACAAUUUCUCAGGACUGCACUGGACAGGGUCAGGAUAUUAGAUUGCUUAAGGAAGGAAUAUGAAAAGAAAAUGAUCUUCUGUGAGCCUCAUGCAUACAUAAGUGAACUAAUAUAACCAUGCUGUCUUCUACCUUCCUUGAAAAGAAUUUUCUCCAGGAGGUAUCCUUUAAAAAGAAUAAACUACAAAUAAAAAUAUUCAAUUUAAUAUUAUGAUAUAGUGCAAAAGCUUCAUUUUGAGAGACAACUUGUGAAUGCUUGUGAAUGUUUAUUUUGCUAUCAAAGAAUUUUUUGUGUUGGGAAAGGAAAUGUCUUCAUAGUUCGCAUUGGUCAGCAUAGCAAUCAGAUAUUAUCUGAAGCACAGAUAUGUGUUCUUAAUUUUAGAAAUAAAUUUCAGAUCCAGAUUCUGAUACUAUCAGAGCGCUGUCAAACUGGUUGGAUGCACAUUUUCAUUCAAAUCAGAACACCCAUCCAAAGGCAAAACUCACUGUGUAUGACUGCAGCUGAAUCUACUACAGCAAAAUGACAACAGGGUGUGUGUGUGUGUGUGUGUGUGUGUGUGUGUAGUUGAAGUAAGUCUAGUUUUCAUAUGGCAUCAAUCCAGCACUUUUAUUGGGGUGGGAUCAAAUUGUCUAAUAUGUGUUUUUGAAGAUAAUGUGGCAGCUUUAUAUCCAAACAUCUUCAUAUUGUCUUGCAUUUAAAAAAACCAAACCUUAAUAUAUUAACAGCUAUGGCUAAAUUACCGCAUCCCAGUGUUUCUUCUACUAAGAUAGAUUAAUGUAUGUGCUCCUAAUUACGGGUUGUAAUAGGGAAAACAUGCUUCUCUAUUGUCUGUUGUCUCAAUUUUAGAUAUAUUUAGAAAUUAACUACAUGGUGUUCCAGGGCUGCAUGUGCUGGGAAGACUGUUUAGGAGCCUAUUGGGACAUGUACAAGGUCUUGUAGAAAGUGAUUAACCUGCUAUGGCUGUACUCGCAUUGCUCCUAUAAAUAUUUGUAUGAGGUAUUAGUAGUAGAAUUCUCUGA